rnacentral:rRNA from 1 species
GGUAUGGACUAGUUUCAUUGAGAUAGUGGCAAACGGGUGAGUAACGCGUGGGAAUGUACCUUCAGAUUGGGAUAACGUUGGAAACGAGCGCUAAUACCAAUACACCGGAGACGGGAAAGGAAAUUUGCUGAGGGAGCGGCCCGCGUUAGAUUAGGUAGUUGGUGGGGUAAAGGCCUACCAGCCGAUGAUCUAUAGCUGGUCUGAGAGGACGACCAGCCACACUGGGACUGAGACACGGCCCAGACUCCUACGGGAGGCAGCAGCG